rnacentral:rRNA from 1 species
AUUGAACGCUGGCGGCAUGCCUUACACAUGCAAGUCGAACGGCAGCACGGGAGCAAUCCUGGUGGCGAGUGGCGAACGGGUGAGUAAUAUAUCGGAACGUGCCCAGUCGUGGGGGAUAACGCAGCGAAAGCUGUGCUAAUACCGCAUACGAUCUCUGGAUGAAAGCGGGGGACUCGCAAGAGCCUCGCGCGAUUGGAGCGGCCGAUAUCAGAUUAGCUAGUUGGUGGGGUAAAAGCUCACCAAGGCGACGAUCUGUAGCUGGUCUGAGAGGACGACCAGCCACACUGGAACUGAGACACGGUCCAGACUCCUACGGGUGGCUG